rnacentral:misc_RNA from 1 species
CGAUGCCAUAUCGCCCUAUGGUGAAUGCCAUGGCCCCGAAUGCUCCUAUGGGGGCGAGCCGCAUGAUCACAUUGAUGGUUCCGAAAACCAGUUCUGAGCCCGCAUCGAUCACAUCACGCACCGGCUUGGCCGGAUCGCCGAGUCUGGACAGCACAUAGCCGAACAGAACGGAAAUCAUGACCACUGGGAGAAUGUCACCGCGCGCGAACGCGUCGAUGAUCGUGUUUGGAAUAAUGUUCAGAAUGAAUUCGA